rnacentral:rRNA from 1 species
GAUGAACGCUGGCGGCGUGCUUAACACAUGCAAGUCGAACGGAAAGGCCCUGCUUUUGUGGGGCGCUCGAGUGGCGAACGGGUGAGUAACACGCGAGUAACCUGUCCCUGACUUUGGGAUAACUCCAGGAAACUGGGGCUAAUAUCGGAUAGGAGCUCCUGCAGCAUGGUGGGGGUUGGAAAGUUUCGGCGGUUGGGGAUGGACUCGCGGGUUAUCAGCUUGUUGGGGGGGUAGUGGCAUACCAAGGCUUUGACGGGUAGCCGGCCUGGGAGGGUGGACGGGGACAAGAGGCCUACGGGACGGACCAGACUCGUACGGGAGGCAGCGGUGGAGAGUAUUGCAGAAUGGGGGGAAGCCUGAGGCGACGGCGCCGCGUGCGGGAUAACGGCCUUCGGGUUGUGAACCGCUUUCGCCGGUGACGUAGCGUGAGUGACGGUAAUGGGUAAAAAAGCACCGGCUAACUACGUG